AUUGAACGCUGGCGGCAGGCCUAACACAUGCAAGUCGAACGAGUGGCGGACGGGUGAGUAAUGUCUGGGAAACUGCCUGAUGGAGGGGGAUAACUACUGGAAACGGUAGCUAAUACCGCAUACCAUCGGAUGUGCCCAGAUGGGAUUAGCUAGUAGGUGGGGUAAAGGCUCACCUAGGCGACGAUCCCUAGCUGGUCUGAGAGGAUGACCAGCCAUACUGGAACUGAGACGCGGUCGAGACUCGUACGGGAGGAAGUAGUGGGGAAGAUUGCACAAGGGGCGCAAGUCUGAGGCAGCCAUGCCGCGUGUAUGAAGAAGGCCUUCGGGUUGUAAAGUACUUUCAGCGGGGAGGCGUUACCCGCAGAAGAAGCACCGUCUAACUCCGUGCCAGCAGCCGCGGUAAUUC
rnacentral:rRNA from 1 species